rnacentral:guide_RNA from 1 species
AUAAAUAAAACAAACAGUAUAUGUGAUCUUAGAUGUACGAUAUAAAU